CGCUAAAAAAAAUCCCCUCGUCCGAUCCCCAACCUCCCCCCCGAUCCCGUCGCCGCUGCCUCCUACCGGUGCGCCACCACUCCCGCCUCCUUCCGGCGCGCCGUCAUCCCCGCCUCCUUUCGGCGCUGUCAUCCCCACCUCCUACCGGCGCGCCACCGGACCCUCCUUCUUCCCUGGAGCGCCGCCACCCCGCUGCCGCCGCCAUCUUCCCGAGCGCGCCGCUGCCGCCGUCUUCCCCGGAGCGCCACCGCCCCGCCACCCCCGCCCACGGGACCAGUGGUCCCAUCGCCGGUCUCCCCCCACCCAGAUCUGCCGGAGGCGCACCGGAUCCUGCCUCACGGCCGGUUCCCGCGACUCAGCCGUCGCCCCAACCGCUGCAGCAGCCGAGCACCUCCACUAGGUGCCCCGGCGGUUCGGACCCCCACCUGGCCCCUCCCUCGAACCCAGCGAGCCUCCGCCCCGGCCUACUUCCCGCGCGAGGUCGCCUCCGCCUCCGCCUGGAUGGAUGGAUUCAGGAAGGUAUCCUUCCUCCCUGGGUGGAGCGAGCUGCAGAUCUCAUCCGGCCCUCGGGAACCGGCCAUCUCCGCCUCCUCCUCGCCGCCGCCGCUGGGGAUCACGUCUUCACCAAACGCGAGCUCCGCCCCAUCCGACCGACCGCAAAGGGAGAUAGGACAUGGCGGAAACAAAACUGCACGGCGAUGUGCAUUUCUGCAACACAUCAGGUCUAGAUUUUCCAUUGCCCUGGACUUAUGAACGGAAGAAAAAGCAACAUGAAGUUCCUGUAGAUUAUCUUAUAGGACAGGCGAAAUGCAACAGAAGAAGCUCCUCCGCUGCUACUCGCCAAACUCCAAGCAAAAAGGACCUUCCACUUUCCUUGCUAAUGGUGAGCAACUCAAAGAUGUCUAAAAGGUUACGCUUAAUAUUUACCCUCCGUAUCUUAUUUACUUGACCAUUACAUGUAUAGAUGCUUUUAGAGAACAUGUAUAUAUAGCUGCAGAUCUGUUAUAUCUGAACAAUGGCAGAUUUGACCAUUACAUGUAUAUACCUGCCAGGAGAGAACAUGUAUAUCUAUCAGUUGUUUUUCGAUCAUUAAGAUAUUACUUUCUCAUCUUAUUUCUAGGUAUAAACACUGGUGCUGUUUUGUUUAAUUUCGAAACAUGCAGAUUAUCGUGUCUUCAUCCCUGCGAAGUGACAUUCUUUCCCAGUAAUCUGUGCAUGUGAAAAUUAUUUUCAAAUGCGAUUCUACUUGGUAGUUUUCAUAUUUCCAAUGGCCCGUCAAGUGUGCAUUUUCACGAGCUUCAGCAAACCCUUUUUCAGUCAUCUGGUCCAUGUACAUACCAAGUGCUUGUUGAAAUAAAAAUGCAAUUGGCUGCCAAUUUUAUCUUGCGUGUAUCACUGGUUAAUUUUGUAUAGUUAGUUUUAUGUCUAUAUAUUGUCAAUAUAUCGAAAGUUUGGUCCUCUGAGUAAGCACUCGGUUCCUUGUUAGGUCUGGCUAGAUCGAUAUUUAAGGGAUCAUUUUAGUCCCAGUUUUCCACCUUGCAUUAAAAGAAUGCCUUUGUAUCAUAGGCAGCUGGUCCAAUUACAUGCUCUUUGUCUAGACUAACACUCAGAUGGCUGAAACUCAAAGUUUCAGUAUCAAUACAGUAAAAUUCUCCCAAAUAGAUAAGUAUCACUUCACUUCUGGGCAUUCAUCAAUUUUAGUGCUACAUAUUCCUAUUUGGAUUAUACUUGGUGCAUCAAAUUAAUGAAUCAGGAAACUCCUUUUUUGUUGUUUGGGCAGGGGCCUCAGUUUGUUCGGAAUCAGAUACAACCAUUUGAUCCAUUAUUGUUCGUGGGCAUCAUAUUUAAAAAAAAAUUGGAUUUUGUAAAGUUUGCGGUUAAUAAGCCGGUGAGAGCUGAUGGUUCAGUUUGAUCCUGCAUUUUCUUGACCUCUUUCUCUGUCAGGAGGAUAUUCAAUACCAAGAUUUAUGAUUUGGCAUAAGUGAGAUGACAUACAAGUGAGUUUAAUUCGUGAGAGUGAAAUAGCAACAGUUUUCUUAUCAUACCGCCGGCAGCUGCACCUCAACUGCCGAAAAAGAAAUCUUGAAGAACCAAGACCACCACCAGCUGGAAGAAGGUAAAAAUCCUUUUUUUUCUUCUCCCUCCUCAUUUGAUUUCCAUUUCCUCGCAGCUCUAGGUAAUUUCGUGACCUACCUCUUGGUAAGUCACCUAUCUGCAGAAUGCAUGUAGUGUGUGUGUGUCAGAUAUACAGUGAAAAAACACCACAAUGCAAGUGUCAGAUCCUGUUCUUGGUGCAAUUUUGCCACUAUGUUCUGGACUGUAAGCAACUGCUUCAUGUUAAACUAAAGCUCCAAUCAGGCUUGUGGCUCUUCUGUACCUGUAUGCCUAGAUUAUUUACUAAUGGGAUAUGCACUAGAUCUUCCUGUAUAGGAUCAUCAAUUGCUAGGAAUAGUCAUGGUUUUUAUUAAUUUUUCAUCUUUUUUUAUUUAGUUUGACUUCCACUUAUCUGGUACACUAAAUGAUCUCUAGCUAAUUUUUAACUAUUGAUUAGUACACUGAGAUGAAUUCUAUUGGUCUCAGAGUGCAAGAGAUUUCCUGGAUGCCUCAACUAUAUGCAUACUUGUGUUAUAUUUGACACCCUCAUGAAAUGUACUAGAUGGCGUAUUCUUGCGUGUAGCUUAAAAUUCUUAAAACAAAUGUCCCUAAAAUAGCAAGGUGAAAUCUUGAUUUUUCUUGCUGUGAACAAAUGCAUCAUAAUUAAUUUCCCUGAUUGUAUCAAUAUCAUCACGGGCAUCACUAGCCAUCAGACUACUGAUAGUUCGCAACUAUCAGACCAGUCCAAGGCCGUUGGGUCAGAUGCCGGACGUACGCUCGAUCUGGUAGUCCGCUUGUUUGAUUAGAUGCUUCCAAUCCCUAAUUUGUUGCUGCUUCCUAAUCGCUCCCGCAAUGCACACCCUGCAUCCCUGCGUCUCUCUCCAUCCUGAAUAUUACUUCCUUGCAUGGUUCCCUCGAAAUCAUGGAAACAUGGCGCCUGAUUCUUUCUAAGUUUGUUUCCUAACGAGUGCUUCCAUAAACCAGGGCGAAAACUACUUCCAGAAAUCACGUGAGUACAUGUUCUUGAUUUUCGCAUGAGGCUAUUUGCUUCCUCAUGAAGCACAUCUUGAUUCCAUUUUUAUUUAAAUUUACUUCCAUUCGUGUGGAUGUUCUUUGACAUCAUAAAAAAUGUUUUUCCAGUGUAAUGCAAAAUUAAACUUGCUUCCGUUUAUCAAUGAGUUUGCGCCCAUAGUGAACUAAACUUGCUACGGUUAAUACAUAUUUGUUUUCUACCUAGAGGAUUGCACCACCAAAAUAAGACAUUCUUCCUAUAAAAAUAACCAUUAUCAAGCAUAUUAGGGAUGUGAUUCCAAGAAAUACAAAUAUGCUUUGCUUUCAUCAUCUGAAAAUCAUUCUUCCAACACUACAAACUAUGCUUCAUAAUCCAGUCAUUUUUUCUCUCAAAGCAGUUUCAUGUGUAUUGUUUUAUUUGUUUUUUAGGUAUGACUCCAUGUGUUAUGACCGCCGUUUUUUUGGCUUACUAGAAGUUUAGUUGCUUUGUACAUAGCUUGUAGGAUUCCUGCCUACUAUGUCGCUCCGCCGCUACGGUCCUGUCGAAGCCCCUCCCUGCUCUGCUCCAUCCAUCGUGUCCGGCCUAGCCUCGAUGACCUUCUUUUGUCCCACAAAUCUGUGGGUUUUGACAUCGCGAGCCACAAGAGUUGGUGAGGACCAGAGAGGCCGGCACCAUCGAGGGUACGAUGCCCUUGACCUUUGACAGCCGAGUGUGCAUCUUGCUUGUUUGCUUGCAGCACGAUGACAAAACAAUGAGCAAUAUGCUUGAUCUCACGUCGCACGCCAUGCCCCCAUCGACAACCGUGGCAUGCUCACAAUCAGUAAAGCAAGAUCUUUCGCUCAAGUUAGUUCUGCAGGAAUUUAGGAAGCAUGUGUAGUUUGAUUUGGGUACAAACAUGGCGCCUACAAAAUAAUAUGAAACAUGGAAAUGAAGCAAACUAAACAAGGUGUAGAAGCACAGUUGUUAAGUACAUGAAGCAAACCAUACACUAUUAAGAAGCAUAACCAUGGUCCAUAUAUGAAGCAAACUAUGCACCAUGAAGAAGCACAACUAUGAUACAAUUGAAUCAUGAAAACUGGAUACAUCGUAUUCAUGUAAUCUCAACAUAAUUUCUACAUAGUGGAAGCACAUAUAAGAAAAAUGGGGUGCAAAAUAUCUAUGCACAGUCAUUCAAAUUAAGACAAGCGGUGACAUGCACCUUGUCCAUAAUAUGUGUGAAAUUUAGGAAGCAUGAUUUAGUUGUUCAUUAAGUAAAAACAUGAUGCCUACAAGAACGUGCAAAGGAUUGGCAGAAAGCAGAACUGAACACGAUGUAGAAGCACAAGUUUGAUAUGUACGAAGCAAAGUGGACUCAAUGUAGAAGCAUUGGCAUGAUAAAUGAAGCAGAGUUUAACCAGCAAUGGUGUAGUAGUACUAUAUGUAUGUAUGAAACAUGAAAAGCUGGAAGCAUUGUACGGAUGCAAUCUCGACAUACUUUCUAUAUAACGAGGAUAGUCAUGAAAAGGUUGGAUGAGGAUGGUAUGGCGGAUUCGCGCGACCAGCAGCGUGUGCUCCCUUCACCAACUUUGAACAUAGACAACAAAGAGGGGAAAAAGAGCGACAAAAAUCUUCUCGCUUCUCACUUAUAUUGUAGCCAAAAUUGAGAAGCACAUGUACAUAUGUACAUACCAAAUUCAGAAAUAUUACUCUGAUUCAGUCAUAUAAUACACAAUGGUGUGGCCAAAAUAAUGAAUGAGUUAUACAAAUACACAAUGGAGGCGUACAAAAUUCAUCAAACAACACUGGUGACAUACAAACAUGUUAGAAAUCAGAGAGGGCUAUAUCAAGAUUUCCCAGAAUUACCUAGGUCAGAUGAGGAUGCUACCUGCAGAGGAGAUGGGGGGCGACUCCAGCAAGGUUCCUCGCAUGAUGGAUUCGUUCGAAAACCGAGAUGAAGCUCCGCCACGGUGGCCUGGACGCCGGGGGAUCCGAAGCAAGUGUAGAUAACCGGGACGACCAUGGACUGCGAGCUCGCUUGUCAUGCUCGACGUGGCUAAUGCCGGCCACCACAAUCGUGUGGGACGACGCACCUGCGAGUUGUGUCUCAUGGGAAUUGGGGAGGCUGGUUCAUGGCGGCGAGAACAAGGGCAGGGCGGCCGGGGACGAGAUUGGCGAGCUCCGGAGCAGGCGACGGGGAUGGGAACGGGUGGGCUUUGGCAGGUGAGAUUAAUGCGGGAGUAGUUAUGGGUGGAAAAUCAGGCUGUUUUGGAAACUAAUCAAAGGAUUUCGGACGCAAUCUCGGCCGUGAGAUGAAAGAAGCACCGACGGUGUGCGAUUAGUCUGACAAACGUCUGCUAUCAGAUGCCUGGUAGGAAGCGUUUCCAGUCACGGUUUCUGAUUUUCUGUUGUUUGAGUAUGUGAAUAAAUUCACUUUUGGUCCAUUUGCUAACUUGAUGAUUACCUUCUUAUAGCUCACGAUGGGUCUGUGCAUCAAAGUGUGAUCAGGCAUAAACAUGAAAGAACUAGGAAGCAAACCAUACUUCAUGUGUGCAUUGAGAUGAACUGAUUUUUAGACGCAACAGUAAGUUGUAAAACUGAGAUUAACCUUUUAAAGUUAUAUCUGAUACAUCAGUAGUAGGUUACUUGAAGUAGUCAGCAGCAGUAUUUUUCUUUACAAAAGUUUAGCUAAGCCUGUCACUGACGUGAGAUUACGUGGGAUCUUCACUUGUUCUGUAAUUUUUUUUGUACACACAUGUGGGCCUCCCACUUAUAUUAUGCGAUGGAUGUGAUUUGGGGUUGGGGUUUGUUCUGUUCAAUUAUCGUUCUAUGAGCGGAAUAAUUUCCCUACAUUAGAAAAUCUGGCAAAUUGCAUUUCACUAGAGCUGACUUUGCAGCAAAUUGCUUGAGCGAGCGGUUCAUUUUUUUUACAUCAAGUCAUACAAUGUUUUAGUUAGCAUAGAAUGGUACAUGCAUUUGUUGGUUGCUUCAAGAGUUAAUAAUGGAUACAGUGACAACGGACAUCAUAGUUUGUCCAGUGGCUAAGGAAACAUUGGAUCUGCCUUCUUGGCUUAGGAGGCGUUGUGGGCGGCCAAUGCCUCCUUCCCCUUCCAUGGAGGCGGCGGAUCAACACGAACACAGAGGAAGGGAUGUGGGUGGAGAGUUGGGCGGUUUGCAGGGUCUCCUGGAUGGUCCAUGGAGAAGUUCGGUAUGAAGGAGAGAGGGUGCUAGCGAAGGCGAGGUGGGCGUCAUCCAGUUUUAAAUGAGAGGGCUCCAUCGAGAAAUGUCACGCUACGAUGAAAAUCGAGCAGGAAGGGAAUGGUCUGACAGGAAAAGGAAAGGGUGUGUCGUGAGGUGGAUUUUUUUUGUGUUGGGCCCUCUUUUUGUUGGAGAUAACAUGAUGAAUAGUCCGGACAACCAUAUUUCUCCUCCAUAUAUGAUAUGUAUUUGGGGAAGGCUGAACUGUCUAGCUGGUUUAAUUUUGGGGUGCCGGCUGGGCACCCAUUUGAUGUCAAAACACCUUCGGACAUGGGAAGGAUAUAUGAGCUUCACCGUUGGAGACAAUCUUAAUUAUUUGUUUGAUUCA